UGUGGCUUGUAUUCAAGGAUCCCAUCACCAAAUAUCCCUACACAAGCUCAUGAUAUGUUCGUGAAAAUGUUUGAGGGCACCAGCGGUGGCUGAGGGCGAGCUGCAGUGGUAGGAGAGGUGCCUCUAUUCGGCUGGUGAACAGAUUGUCCUCCUGGGCGGGAGGGGACGUGAAGGAGGAACGUGAGCAGCCCUGGAGCAUCCCUUACAUAUGGGCAGCUUCUCAUGCAAACCUCCCUCUCUUCCCAGUCCAGCUGUCCUCGGGCGCUUUUGGACCACAAGACGUGUGUUCAAGUACUGAUGGAAAAGAAGGCCGAUAAGUCUUAAAAAAAUCAUUAUACUUGUCGCUGCUCAAUGACGACCAAGCAAUGUGAACUAUUAUCUCGUGUAUGCUUAUUGGACUCCCCGCCCCCCACACCACCUUCAUCAAUUUGGUUCAGUUUCGAGACUCAUGAUUACGACCACAACGCAAGUUCACGUGUAAAGGGUUGCGGGAGUUCUGGAGCAAGGGCAGGACGUCGGAUACACCCUGAACUGGCUGCCAGAUCGGCUGCCAGUCUUUGCUCAGGAUUGUUUCACCAAAGAGCAAUAGGAUUAGGCACAAUAGCAGGACCUUGACCCCUCAUCUUGUGUGGCUGAAAAUCAAAACCAGCUUGUUGACUUUGCCCAUGUCUUCCAGACAAAUUCCUAAAAUCUCAAUACCUUUAUGAGUCUGCAUCUGCAAAUUGAAUUUGGUACGAUACAAGUCCUCCAGAUGGAAUUGUUAGUCAUGUCCCUGGUCUCUUGGCCCGACACGCUUAGGAUGUAAAGUGACCAUCAAUGCCACAACCCUCAUCGUCGAGAGGACUCAGCCGAUUUGAAUACCACAACAUUGCUGUCUUUAUUAAGAUUGACAUUUACCAUUGCACCACCUGACAUGAUUCCCUUUGUUCUUACCCCUAUGUCAAAAGCUUCAAAGCCUCCUCCUGUCUAUGGUAAUAUUCAAAUAGUCAAAUCAAGUCCUCUGAUUGCAUGUGUGCCACCCCUGUUUUGCAAGUGAAAAGAGAAGCUGUCUAUAUGCAAAGAAUACAAUAAUAAUAAUAAUAAAAUAUACAUACAGUGCAACAACUGAGUUUUCACUCUCACAAGUGCACCUAUUCCCUUUACGUUCGCUGCUGCCUUUCAUUCCUGUGACUGGGCAGGAAACCAAAUUGUUUCCCUCCCU